GACGAACGCUGGCGGCGUGCUUAACACAUGCAAGUCGAACGGUGAACGAGGGAGCUUGCUCCUUCCGGAUCAGUGGCGAACGGGUGAGUAACACGUGAGCAAUCUGCCCCGAACUCUGGGAUAAGCGUUGGAAACGACGUCUAAUACCGGAUACGACGCGGGAGGGCAUCCUCUCCGCGUGGAAAGAACUUCGGUUCGGGAUGAGCUCGCGGCCUAUCAGCUUGUUGGUGAGGUAACGGCUCACCAAGGCGACGACGGGUAGCCGGCCUGAGAGGGUGGCCGGCCACACUGGGACUGAGACACGGCCCAGACUCCUACGGGAGGCAGCAGUGGGGAAUAUUGCACAGUGGGCGCAAGCCUGAUGCAGCAACGCCGCGUGAGGGACGACGGCCUUCGGGUUGUAAACCUCUUUUAGCAGGGAAGAAGCGAAAGUGACGGUACCUGCAGAAAAAGCACCGGCUAACUACGUG
rnacentral:rRNA from 1 species